rnacentral:rRNA from 1 species
UACGUAGGGGGCGAGCGUUGUCCGGAGUUACUGGGCGUAAAGCGCACGCAGGCGGUCUGCUAAGUUUGGAGUGACAGUUGGUGGCUUAACUGCCAAAGUGCUUCGAAAACUGACAGACUUGAGGGCUUCAGAGGGACACGGAAUUCCGGGUGGAGUGGUGAAAUGCGUAGAGAUCCGGAGGAACACCCGUGGCGAAGGCGGCUCUCUGGGACGGUACUGACGCUGAGACGCGAAAGCGUGGGGAGCGAACAGG